AUUGAACGCUGGCGGCAGGCCUAACACAUGCAAGUCGAACGGUAACAGGAAGCAGCUUGCUGCUUCGCUGACGAGUGGCGGACGGGUGAGUAAUGUCUGGGAAACUGCCUGAUGGAGGGGGAUAACUACUGGAAACGGUAGCUAAUACCGCAUAACGUCUCAAGACCAAAGAGGGGGACCUUAGGGCCUCUUGCCAUCGGAUGCGCCCAGAUGGGAUUAGCUAGUAGGUGGGGUAACGGCUCACCUAGGCGACGAUCCCUAGCUGGUCUGAGAGGAUGACCAGCCACACUGGAACUGAGACACGGUCCAGACUCCUACGGGAGGCAGCAGUGGGGAAUAUUGCACAAUGGGCGCAAGCCUGAUGCAGCCAUGCCGCGUGUAUGAAGAAGGCCUUCGGGUUGUAAAGUACUUUCAGCGGGGAGGAAGGGAGUAAAGUUAAUACCUUUGCUCAUUGACGUUACCCGCAGAAGAAGCACCGGCUAACUCCGUG
rnacentral:rRNA from 1 species